rnacentral:tRNA from 1 species
GACCCCUUCGUCUAGUGGUUAGGACACCACUCUUUCACAGUGGAGACACGGGUUCGAGUCCCGUAGGGGUCG